rnacentral:rRNA from 1 species
UGAGGAAUAUUGCGCAAUGGGCGAAAGCCUGACGCAGCAACGCCGUGUGAGCGAUGAAGGCCUUCGGGUCGUAAAGCUCUUUUCCCAGGGAUGAGCAAGGACAGUACCUGGGGAAUCAGUCACGGCUAACUACAUGCCAGCAGCCGCGGUAAAACGUAGGUGGCAAGCGUUAUCCGGAUUCACUGGGCGUAAAGCGCACGCAGGCGGCCCGGUAGGUAGGGCAUGAAAUCUCCUGGCUUAACUGGGAGAGGUUGUCCUAGACCGCCGGGCUUGAGACUGGGAGAGGGAAGUGGAAUUGCCGGUGUAGUGGUGAAAUGCGUAGAGAUCGGCAGGAACACCAGUGGCGAAGGCGGCUUCCUGGCCCAGUUCUGACGCUCAAGUGCGAAAGCUAGGGGAGCGAACGGGAUUAGAAACCCCGGUAGUCCUAGCCGUAAACGAUGCACACUAGGUGUCGGUGGUCUUGACCCCAUCGGUGCCGUAGCUAACGCGUUAAGUGUGCCGCCUGGGGACUACGGCCGCAAGGUUAA